GCGCAGCAGUCGCGAAACCUCCGCAAUGCUCGAAAGAGCGACGGGGGACGUCCAAGUGCCUACGCUUUGCGUAGGCUUUUCCCUAAGCCUAAAAAGACUUGGGGAAUAAGGGCUGGGUAAGACGGGUGCCAGCCGCCGCGGUAAUACCCGCAGCCCGAGUGGUGGCCGCUUUUAUUGGGCCUAAAGCGUCCGUAGCCGGUCUGGUAAAUGCCUGGGGUAAAUCGUCUGGCUCAACCAGACGAAUUCCGGGGUAGAUUGCCAGACUAGGGGACCGGAGGAAGGAGAGGGGUACUCCGGGGGUAGGGGUGGAAAUCCUGUAAUCCUCGGAGGACCACCGGUGGCGAAGGCGCUCUCCUAGGACGGGUCCGACGGUGAGGGACGAAAGCCAGGGGAGCAAACCGGAUUAGAUACCCCUGUAGU
rnacentral:rRNA from 1 species